CAAGUGCGUUUCUAGGCAACAAAAAUCGCGCCGGCGCCAUUUUCCCCCCUUCAGUCGCAGCAGGAGGACGGGCUCACGCAACGGUCAAGAAAAAUAACAGUCGGACUCAGAUAACGCGACUUUUAUAUUUUGAGACGGUUGGCAGACCAUCUUCCACAUCUCUCGCGCGCGCGGCGCCGCAGAAACUACAGCAACAGAGCAAAGACGUUGAAAGGUGGUGUGAUAUCAACAUGGCUACAAUAAUAUGAGGCUGCAUUUUUUGGCUUUGAUGUCAUUCGAACUACGAUCUGGCGGGUCUUACUAUCUGUAAAGAAGAGUCUGCCGAUGUUUUUAAGACACAAGAAAAAGGACGACCAGGACCAGGUGCAGAAGGCAACACUCACCAUCAUUGCUGUAGAGGAGGAAGAGGGAACUUUUUACCUUUUAACCCACUGGAUAUUUUGAUUGUCUUUGAAGAUGAGGUGAUGUCUGCCAAGUCAGUGCACUGCCUUUGGAGUACACUUAGUUCGUACAGAAAGUACUGUUGAAUUACCUUUCUUACAUAAACAUUAUCUACUCUGUUUCUGGUGGUGUUAGAACAUAGUUAUUUUAUAUUAUUAAUUUAAUUUUACAAACUUUUACAAUUUUAAAAUUAAAAUUUUUAAACAAACAUAUUUCCUUGUUUGUGCGGUCUUAUACUUGGAGGGAAAAAAAUCUAAGAUUGUUUUAAAGUUAUAUUUUUGACUUGACAGCCCAAUUAUUUUAUGCUUGAACAUUUUGUGAAUUAACUGUUGUUUUUCAAUAAAUACUUAAGA